GUGGGGAAUAUUGGACAAUGGGCGCAAGCCUGAUCCAGCCAUGCCGCGUGAGUGAUGAAGGCCCUAGGGUUGUAAAGCUCUUUCACCGAUGAAGAUAAUGACGGUAGUCGGAGAAGAAGCCCCGGCUAACUUCGUGCCAGCAGCCGCGGUAAUACGAAGGGGGCUAGCGUUGUUCGGAAUUACUGGGCGUAAAGCGCACGUAGGCGGAUAUUUAAGUCAGGGGUGAAAUCCCAGGGCUCAACUCUGGAACUGCCUUUGAUACUGGGGAUCUCGAGUAUGGAAGAGGUGAGUGGAAUUCCGAGUGUAGAGGUGAAAUUCGUAGAUAUUCGGAGGAACACCAGUGGCGAAGGCGGCUCACUGGUCCAUUACUGACGCUGAGGUGCGAAAGCGUGGGGAGCAAACAGGAUUAGAUACCCUUGUAGUCC
rnacentral:rRNA from 1 species